AGAGUUUGAUCCUGGCUCAGAUUGAACGCUGGCGGCAUGCCUGACACAUGCAAGUCGAACGGCAUCGGGUGAUAGUUUACUAUUAUGCCGGCGAGUGGCGAACGGGUGAGUAAUGCGCAGGGAUAUGCCCUUGAGUGGGGGAUAACUUGUGGAAACGCAAGCUAAUACCGCAUACCCUCUGAGGAGGAAAGCUGGGGACCGCGAGGCCUGGCGCUUGAGGAGUAGCCUGCGUCCGAUUAGUUAGUUGGUGAGGUAAAGGCUUACCAAGGCGAUGAUCGGUAGCUGGUCUGAGAGGACGGACAGCCACACUGGGACUGAGACACGGCCCAGACUCCUACGGGAGGCAGCAGUGGGGAAUAUUGGACAAUGGGGGGAACCCUGAUCCAGCGAUGCCGCGUGUGUGAAGAAGGCCUGAGGGUUGUAAAGCACUUUCAGCGGGGAGGAGGGGUUAUUGGUUAAGAGCUGAUGACUUGGACGUUACCUGCAGAAGAAGCACCGGCUAACUCCGUGCCAGCAGCCGCGGUAAUACGGAGGGUGCGAGCGUUAAUCGGAAUUACUGGGCGUAAAGGGUGCGUAGGUGGUUUGAUAAGUCAUAUGUAGAAUCCCUGGGCUCAACCUGGGAAUGUCGUGUGAAACUGUUGGACUAGAGUAUGGGAGAGGGCAGUGGAAUUUCCGGUGUAGCGGUGAAAUGCGUAGAUAUCGGAAGGAACACCGGUGGCGAAGGCGGCUGCCUGGCCUGAUACUGACACUGAGGCACGAAAGCGUGGGGAGCAAACAGGAUUAGAUACCCUAGUAGUCC
rnacentral:rRNA from 1 species